UAAAAAAAUGUAUGAGUCAGCUUGGGCGGUCAUAACAAAAUGGUACAAACGGAGUGGCUUAAACAACAGAAAUUUGUUUGCUCACAAUUCUGGAGGCUAGAAGUCCAAGGUCAAGGUGCUGGGACGACGGUCAGUUUCCUCCGAGGCUUCUCUCCUUGGCUCGCAGUUCCCACACGAGAUGAGGUUGAACCUUAUGAAAUUGCCGGCAGCCAAUCAAGUUCGAACUACCAAACGAGCGAGUCCCUUUGGAGCCUGCCCCGCGCUGCUGGUAGAGGACGGAGGUGCGGGGACCUCCCACCUCUGGCUGUGCGAACCCCUCGGGACAGAUGUGCAAGAAAGACGGCAGGAGUAGACGGGAAGGAGGCAUUGGGAGUUGCAGGGCACUUACCUAAGCCAGGCGCCCUGGGAAUCGCUGGACGCACGCCGUCUCAGAAUCUCCGCCAACAGCUCUGGAGAACACGAUGCCCGUUUUACAGAUGCAGAGACUGAGGUCCAGGGAUGAGCUUGCUCAAGGUCGCUCAGCUGGCUUUGCUGUCUGGAAACUAGUUCUUCGAUGGGAAUGCAAAGGGAAACGGAUAGCGGCGGGGUGCGAUGCAGUGCAUGGGGUUUCCUUUUGGACGUGAGAUCUGGACGAAAUGUCGGUCGAGUUUCUCUGGCUAUGGGGAGGUGCAGGAGGUGGUCCGGGCAUUGAGAAUAUCAGGGUGCCCAGCUCUCUGUGAGCCGCACAGCAGGGUCUAGCCUCUUGAAUUCGGGGGUGCGGGGGGGCCGUGCCUCAUCAUUUGCUAUUUGUGUGAGCACAUUCCACUUCCAGGAUCACCCCUGAAAGCGUUCUUAUCCGCAUUUUGCAGAUGGGGAAAGUGAGGCUCGGAUGGGUGAAGGUCCCUGUGGUGGUUAUCGGAUGCUCCGGGACAAGCCACCGUGGACUUAGUGGCCUCAAGACCACUCACUUCUUACGCUCACAAAUUCCGUGGGUCACGAAUUUGGAUAGGGUAUAGAAGGGAUACCUUCUGCUCCGUCAUGUCUGAGACCUCAGCAUGGAGGACCUGAAUGGCCAAGAGCGACUGGAACAGUUGGCCGGCUCAUUCACGUGUCUGGCACCGGGGCUCGGUGGCUCACAGGCUGGGCUGAGCGGGGACAGUUGACUGGAACAACCCCACACGGCCUCUUCCUUCAGCCUGGGAUCGACUCCUUGCAUCACGGCACCGAGAUUCAUUUUUUUUU